ACAUGCAAGUCGAGCGGUAAGGCCACUUCGGUGGUACACGAGCGGCGGACGGCUGAGUAACACGUAGGAACCUACCCCAGACUGAGGGAUAAGCACCAGAAAUGGUGUCUAAUACCGCAUACACUCUUCGGAGCAAAGCUACGGCGGUUUGGGAAGGGCCUGCGCAUGAUUAGCUUGUUGGUGAGGUAAAAGCUCACCAAGGCGACGAUCAUUAGCUGGUCUGAGAGGAUGACCAGCCAGACUGGGACUGAGAACGGCCCAGACUCCUACGGGAGGCAGCAGUAGGGAAUUUUCCACAAUGGGCGAAAGCCUGAUGGAGCAACGCCGCGUGCAGGAUGAAGGCCUUCGGGUCGUAAACUGCUUUUAUCUGUGACGAAUAUGACGGUAGCAGAUGAAUAAGGAUCGGCUAACUCCGUGCCAGCAGCCGCGGUCAUACGGGAGGAUCCAAGCGUUAUCCGGAAUUACUGGGCGUAAAGAGUUGCGUAGGUGGCAUAGUAAGUAGAUAGUGAAAGCCUGGGGCUCAACCCCUUACACAUUACCUAAACUGCUAAGCUAGAGGACGAGAGAGGUUAUUGGAAUUCCUAGUGU
rnacentral:rRNA from 1 species